UACAGGUCUCCUUGUUUUUAAAGUGGGUGUGUCUCCGUGGACCAGUGGCUCUUCAUGGACACACAGCUGGGCCCAGGUCCAGGUCCAGGUCCAGCAGGGUCUGGUCUCUGAUGGGUCCUGUUAGAAAGAGAGGAAGACCACUUCUUAAUGUCCAGAAACAGAAGCUGCUGGAGGAACUAGAAGCUAUCGAGCAGAAGAUAAAGUCUGAAGAUCUUCACUGAAUGAUUUCUGCUCUCUGCUCAUCCUGCUCUGUCGGUCCUCAUCUUUCUG